GUGCUCCCUUCGGCAGCACAUAUACUAAAACUGGAAGGAUACAGGUAAGGUUAGCAUGGCCCCUGCGCAAGUGAAGCGUUCCAUAUUUGCAAAAAGAAAGAAAGUCCC
rfam:Myotis brandtii contig168443, whole genome shotgun sequence.